UUGAAUUAUUUGUUAUUCUAUUUUGUUUUUUUCAUGGAUGGGCAACGGAAUGUGGAUAAUUCUUGGCAUGGAGUCAUAGAAAAGAAGCUAUUCAUGUGUACACCUCGUGAAGUUGUCCAUGUAUACGCCUUGAGUAAAUUGUCCAUUUGGACGUCUCAGUUGUCCAUGUGGACGUCUCAGUUGGUGGGAAUGAGGUUGGUUUCUACGCAAGAAUCAUUCACCAGCAUUGGCUUGGUUGUAUCCUCAAAGCUUCCCAGAUUCUAUGAGGCACUCUCAGCAUAGAAUGCAAAAUCAAUUCCAGCAUAGAAAGUCAGUUGAGUUCAGUUAACCAAAAUCAACGUAGCAUCAUCCUUGUUCACAGCCUUUGUAAGAGUGUCUCAGGCAUAUGUUUCACUAUUAACGUGUACAUUAGUUCACAAACACCCAUAUGUACACCGGUUUAUGAACAUCGACGUGUAGACAUUUCAAAAUUGUUUUAAGUAUUUGAUGAACAAAUAAGCUUGAACACUUGAUUGGUACCUUGGCUGAGGUGAGCUUAAGGCAUCAGAAUCAGUCGUAAGCACUCCACUCUGCAAACGAUUCCCAUACAUCACUAAGAACAAAGUAAGGAGGCCUAAACACAUCAGUUAACAAUAUCCACAUGUACACUAUCCGUGAUAAUCACAUGUACACAUGUACAUUGUGAAGUUGGUGUACACAUAAGCUGGUGUCCACAUAUACAUUGUGAAGUUGUUGUACUCUCAAUCCAAUGGGUUGCUAUGGCAGUUUAUGAACAAGCUCUCUCUGCUUAUCUACACUCAUUCCACAACUUUCUGAUGUCACCUGGAAACCACUACAACAAACCAUUUACAAUAAAAGUUGUUUUUAACAUCGAUUGACACCACAUAGCUACAUGUACAAAAGAACGAAAAAAUAGGAAAAAUAUCAACAUAUGGUGUAGCAAUCGAAGUAGCUAACUCAAAA